CUUAGAUUAAGUUCAUUAACGAACAUAACUCCAUAUAUAUAAUAAUUAAUUAUAUAUAAUAUUUCUAUCUUUUUGAUAAAAUGAAAGGAAUUAAGACAAAUCAUGAUGAUCCUUAUAAUAUGGGUAAUAGAGCGUGCUAUAAUAAAAUGAGAACAAAAUUAUAAAUAUAUAUAAAAAAAAUAUAGAAUUAAUAAUAUAAAACAUUUUAAUCUUUAAUAUAUUUAUAUAUUAUAUAUAGUAUGGAUUAUAAUCUGAAAUUCGAUUAUAUGAAAAAAGAAUUGCUAGUAAUAGCUAAAUUAGUAUGUUACGGUGAAUACUCUAACUGUUUGCAC
rnacentral:rRNA from 1 species